GAUUCAUCUUGGAUUCGAUUCAUCUGUCAUUUUGUUUUAAUGUGUUUUAGGCCGUCAUGCUGGGACUGCUUUACAUCAUGCAGCUAAAAGAGGCCUUGAAAAUACUGUAAAGUUACUACUUUCACAUGGAGCGAAUGCAUUGUUAAUGAAUGAUGAUUGUCAUACUGCUCUUGAUGUUGCUAGAGUGAAGGGGCACAGCAGUGUUGUUCGUGCUAUUGAGCUUUUUUGGAAGUGAAGUUAGCUUCACCUUCAGCAGCAUCACCUUCACCAUCAAGCACUGUUACAAAUCUUGACUGAUCUUGGAGGCGGACAAGAGACUACCGUAGGGAUUGAUCGAAAAUGGAGACCCAUUGUCCUUAUGGAACUGCAACAAGCCCUUCAACGCGUCCUAGAAAACCGAGUUGAACAACCCAGACUCGCGGUUGCCGCCGGGGGUGGAAGAUUGUCUGCGACUUGGCCGUAAUUCACUCCGAUGAAUGACUGAAGCUCUGUUACAGUGAAAACACAAAGAGUUAUGAGUUAUAAACCAGGAAUUUUCAAAGACAAACCAAAUAUGCCCAAAGCAAUUUCGCAGAAGAGAACAAGAUUUACACAACUAGACCCAUUUUAAUUGUUAAUUCGAAAGAUUGUGUAGAAAAUGAGAGAAAUCAAACCUGAGCUUUUUCAAUUCUCCUUCGAAGUUCGAAGCGCCAUUUGUCAGAUUCCAAUGAGAGAGAGAUUGAGCGUGAAAGAGAGAGACUGAGAGAGAUCCACAAAAAAGAGAGAUAUGACGUCGUCUGUGUAUUAGAAACUUAUGAGGAGCAUGAAGUACUCAUUUAACCCUUCAC